rnacentral:rRNA from 1 species
UCGAGAAUCAUUCGCAAUGGGCGAAAGCCUGACGAUGCGACGCCGUGUGAGCGAUGAAGGCCUUAGGGUCGUAAAGCUCUUUCGCUUGGGAACAAGAGACGCUGGCUAAUAUCCAGCAAAUUUGAGGGUACCAGGUAAAGAAGCACCGGCUAACUCCGUGCCAGCAGCUGCGGUAAUACGGAGGGUGCAAGCAUUAAUCGGAUUUAUUGGGCGUAAAGGGCGCGUAGGCUGGUCUGUAAGUCAGAUGUGAAAUCCCGGGGCUCAACCUCGGAACAGCAUUUGAAACUACAAACCUAGAGGGUAGGCGGAGAAAACGGAAUUCCACAAGUAGCGGUGAAAUGCGUAGAUAUGUGGAAGAACACCGGUGGCGAAGGCGGUUUUCUAGCUUAUUCCUGACGCUGAGGCGCGAAAGCAAGGGGAUCAAACAGG